GAUGAACGCUAGCUACAGGCUUAACACAUGCAAGUCGCGGGGCAGCAUGUUGGUUGCUUGCAACCGAUGAUGGCGACCGGCGCACGGGUGAGUAACACGUAUCCAACCUGCCUAUUACCACGGUAUAACCCGAUGAAAGUCGGCCUAAUCCCGUAUGUAGUCUUCCAAUGGCAUCAGCAGUAGACGAAAGGUUUAGCGGUAAUGGAUGGGGAUGCGUCCGAUUAGCUAGUCGGUGAGGUAACGGCUCACCGAGGCUACGAUCGGUAGGGGUUCUGAGAGGAAGGUCCCCCACACUGGAACUGAGACACGGUCCAGACUCCUACGGGAGGCAGCAGUGAGGAAUAUUGGUCAAUGGGCGAGAGCCUGAACCAGCCAAGUAGCGUGCAGGAUGACGGCCUUAUGGGUUGUAAACUGCUUUUAUGCGAGGAUAAAGGUACCCACGUGUGGGUGUUUGCAGGU
rnacentral:rRNA from 1 species